rnacentral:rRNA from 1 species
GAUGAACGCUGGCGGCGUGCCUAAUACAUGCAAGUCGGACGGAGCGCUUCGGCGCUCAGUGGCGAACGGGUGAGUAGCACAUGGGUAACCUGCCUCAUACAGGGGGAGUAACAGUCAGAAAUAGGCUGCUAAUACCGCAUAAGCGCACAGUACCGCAUGGUACAGUGUGAAAACUACCGGUGGUAUGAGAUGGACCCGCGUCUGAUUAGCUGGUUGGUGGGGUAACGGGCCCACCAAGGCGACGAUCAGUAGCCGGCCUGAGAGGGUGAACGGCCACAUUGGGACUGAGACACGGCCCAA